rnacentral:sRNA from 1 species
UGUUCCGGCUGCCAGCCGCCACGCCUCCCCCGCCAUUAUGGACUCUCGCUCUGGAACUGAUGAAGCGCUCUACCAGAUACAGAACACGUGACCACACCACACCGUUGGAUGUCUUCAGAACUGUGACACAAACAAAGGAUUAUUCCUCAUAAACUGCAGGCGUGGUCCCUGGAUUUGUGAGAGAACGGGCUGGGGGGUGGGGUGGUCUGUUUCUCCGUGGACAUCUCUCUAGGGGCAGCUGGGUUCACCGAGUGGAAGUGUACGCUAUAAUGUAGCACCCCUUGGAAGGUGCGCUGAAGUUCCAACACUCCAAUCUGAGGACCUAAUAGAACUGGCUUAAUUUAAAGAUGAACCUGAGGGACUGGAGAGACGGCUCAGUGGUUACGAGCAUUGGAUACGCCUCCAGAGGACCCAAGUUCAGUUCCCAGCAGCCCCAUGGCAGCUCACACAUCCAGCUUCAAUCGUGUUGACACCUUCGCACUGCAGGCAAUACAGCAAUGUGUAUAAAGUAAGAAUAAAUCAUUUUUAAAGAUGAACCUGAACCCAGCAGUGAAGAUGCUUUGAGCUUUCUGAGGCCUCCUGGCUCUACACACAGUUGACAUGUUAGUGGCCUCUCUUCCGUCUCCUCAUGCCAGCCUCGCCCUGGUGAUCACGCCUGCUGCUCCAUACACAUGGCCUUUGACCUCAGCUCUCCUGUCUCAGCAGCAGAGCCAUGUGUCAAUGCUCAUAAAGUUUUCCCAUUGGCCAUUCCCAGGCCGCUCUGACUCCGAACCCCAGCUGCAUCCCGUCAGCACCCUGCCUGUGCCUUUCAAUAUUGGAGCAAAUCCCACCAUGGCAGUCCCAAGUGAGGGCCUUCCUUUGUCCCUUGUUACCUUCAGAAGGAAACGGCCUGCCCAGAGCACAGCUGUGGGUGGGCUCUGAAUGUGAGGAUCCCAGCUCCCUUCCUCCAUUGCUGUCACUGUCCCCAGGCGCCAUGUUCCAGUCUUUCUGGCCCUUCUUUGAACUUUCCACUUGUCCUCAUGUCUUCGCACAUUUCCGGUUCAGACCGGUUCCACAGUGGUGCUGCUCAUGCUUGGCCGAUGAAACCCCCUAGUAGGGCAGCUCACACUUUUGUUCCCGAGACCUUCUUUGGCACACAGGGCUGGGUUAGCGUCAUUCUGAUGGACUGAUGCUGCCGACUUCAUCCCAGUCAAGAUCUUUAGACUCCGUCCCUACUCAACUGAGCUGUGCCUGGCCCACAGCAGCACAAGACCUACCCAGGAACCUUUAUUGAGCUGAUAUCAUCAAAACUUUAUAUUGUCCCACAAACGGGGCCUGGCUCUCUAAAACCUGCUUAUUUUAAUUAACAGAGGCCAUCGAGCUCGCCUCAGAGCGUCGGUUACCACCCAAACCCCCUCUUAAAGGAGCAGAACGUGCUCAGACUUUGGCCUCCCCACCUCUCACUUUGGAUUCGGCCCUGUAACGAUCUAAGACAUGCUCCUCACCUUCUCCUGGCUGUGUCCUUUCCUCUUUGUAGAACAGGAGGACCCAACACUGACAUUUCCUAGCUGUUUGAUCACUGAGCAAGCAGGGAACAUGGUUGACAUUUACUGGUCCUGAGUACGGGUACGGCUGGUUGGUCUUGACUGUCCACCUGACAGGGCUGAGAGACACCGGAAAAGUUGGUAAGGCCCUCCUCUGGGUGUGUCUGUGAGCAUCUCCAGAGGUGAUUAGAUCAUGUAUGCUUUGACUUAAUCAAUGGUUUGGUCCAUAAGUGGAUUCAGAAUUUGAACAGACUAACAGGAGACGUUGGAACUGCCGAGGAUAAAGCCCAGUUGAAGAACGUGCGUCACUGUUGCCUUCGAAGGGUCUUCCUGGUUACUCCAUGCUGCUUGCUGGCUGCAGGCUGAGGUGAGCAGGUCUGUUUUAACUGUGCACUGCUCUGCCUCUGCCUCACCAUGGCCCAAGUAACAAUGGAUCAAACUCUCUGUGAUCUGAGCCAAAAUAAAUCCUUCCAGAAUCGUCAUCGUCUUAGGUGUUUGUCUCACAAUAGAAAAUGGCUGACGCCAGGAAGUUGCUGGGUUUUCUGAGAUCGAUGGGUCUUCCAUCCCAUGUUGCCUCCAAGAAUCUGGGUCUUUAGGGUUAGGUCUAAUUUCACCAUGGUUGGCUCUCUUCGGAUGUUCUGGAGAGAACUGUUGUGACGGAGAAAUGAAGCUUAUCUUCUGAUCGUCAGCCUCUUGAGUAUGUUAGGGGUGAGAAGGGUGGAAGGCACACCAUACUUCCGAAUCCUCAACAAAGUCGAAAUCUAGCCCCAUUCUGAGGCAGGAGUUGUCCGGAAACUCAUCAAAAGCUCAGAGCACAGUGACCUCUCUCAAAGUGACUGGAGCCACUAACGGAGGCUCAGGCCCAGAGAAGAGCAGGCCUGAGCUGAUGGUAUCAUUUUAUUUCCAAAGGAAAUAAACCAGCUAGCAACCCCGCCACCAUUUACUACCGGGGAGUUCUUAUGACCAGUGACUAUGUGGGGGACUGCAGGCAACACUGGGGGAAACAUAUGUUAAUUGGUCUAGAAUCAAUAACUCCACACAGGAAACUAAUUUCAGAGUCAAUUCUGUAUUUAAUUUAUACUUCAGGGUUUACUAAAAAGACCUAUUACUUAAAACCAGAUGGAAAUUUCUGUGGCCAGAAGAAACAGACCUAAACAUCUGUUUCAACUCCCACCCCACCCCCGGCCAACACCGUCCUCCCUCUCCUUCUUAAGGUCACAGUGUAGCUUGCCUGGGAAGCACCUGGUGAACUGCUUUAUCUGGGCCUUCUGCUCUCCUAAGACUUAGGUGCAGACUGGGACUUUGCAUGUCAAAUGCCUUCUGAGUUCCAGAGCCACCCUGGGCACCAGGGUCACUAGCUAUGAGAAAUGCUGGGGCGCUCAGGGAAUAAAGAUGCCGGCAUCCUACCCCUGAGAUGGUAAUGGUGCCGUUCUUGGUCCCUAUCUUGACACAGGACUUUUAAAAAACUCCCCGCUAUGGUUUAAAUGUGUCCUCAAAGCCUUGCUAGAAAGAUUUCUCAGUGCAACAGUGCUUAGAGAUGGGACCUUUAAAUGGUGAUUAGAAUGCGUCCCAGGCCUGUCAACCCUCUCCCUCCCUCGCCCUCCUCCAUGGGAUGGCAUGAAAAGAUGGCUUCUACUAGGAGUGAAUUGCUGACCUUGGACUUCAGGACAGUUAGAGGGAAUUUUUCUCUUGAGAGUGUCUCCUGUAGUCCAUGCUGGCCUUGAACUCACUAUGUAUUGAGGGUGACCUUGAAAGCCUAAAGGUCUUCCUCCACCUUCCCAGGGCUGGGAUUCCAGAUUUUGUCACCAGGCCUAGUUUAUGCUACAGCAGGAUAGGACGCAGGGCCUGGAGCACUGAUGAAGCACACUAUCGAAUGAGCUAUACUCCUGGCCAGAAAUGACCUCCUUAUGCAUUGUUUAGCCUGGGUAUUUUUGUCCCAAACAGACCUCGGUACUCCCAUCUGGCACAACUUGCAGUCAGGUUGGAGGCGUCUGGGCUGCGCACUGGACAAUUAGCAAACAGACUGACUGAGUUAAUGGUCUAAGACACAAAUCCCGGCUUCGUGGCCAAAUCUUCACGCUGUCUUUGUUUUCCAGAUCUCUCUUGGUCUUGCAUGUUCCUCCAGAACGGCUCACCUUUACCUGUUCAUGUUAACUCACCCUGGCACCUUAAAUCAUGAUUAGCUUUAUUUUAGGCUUGGUCACCUCCCUUUCAAAUUACCACUCCCCACCUUUAUGGAAACCGUUUUGUCCUUUAUAGCUAUUUAUAGCUAUUAAUAGCUAAUGCAUUGCUUUGCCUUUGCCGAUGCUCUCCGUACCCUGCAAACCCUGCAGGUCAUUGUGUAUUUCGUAUCCUGAGGACUCCAAAUAGAGUUAGUCAGUGGCCUUGUGACGGUCCUGGUAGGAACGACACAGGAUUCAAUCUGCACACCAUUAGGGAGCUUACGUCAGUCUCCAAGUUCACUGCCGUUACAAUGUCCAAGUACCCACAGUGCAGCGGCCCCAGUGUCAGACUGUCGGACUGAGUGGGUGUGGAGAUCUAGCCAUUUUAAUUUACAGAGAACUGGGCCCCACAGUACUGCGAUGAGUGACCCAAGGUUAUCUCUCUUGGCAAAACCCAUGAGACUUAAUCUUUUAGCUACAGGCUCCCCUUUUAUUAGGACAGAGAAGGGAGUUCCCAGGACCUUGUACAGAGGAGACAGACUCCUUAGACUCAAAGGGACUGGGGAACCAACCACUUCUCAGCUACAUUUGGGUCUCACAUGUGAGGACUGGCUUCUUCCCUAAACAUCCCCUAAGCUGUUAGAAGGUGGCCCCUUUCUUAGGACUCCACAGACAGCUCUGCCCUGGGAGCCAUGGCACUGGGUCGCUGAUACUGGAACAGCCCAGUUGCAGACAUAACCAACCUGGGGCUCCGCUUGGAUUGGACAGUCUCACACUGGUACUGGCUGGGAUCUCUGCAAGCUUCUGAAGACUCUUGGGUUUGAAGCAGGGGCAUUGUCGCUAGUUAGAAUAGUGCACACAUGGCUUUUCCUUGAAAGCUCAGACCCACAGCUUCAGUUCGCUGCAAGUCACUCAGGACAUGGGGCUCUGGGAGGCUGGGUGGAACUGAAUUAUCUGCAAGUGUGACCCCUGGUGCACCCGUCUGCAUUCCUGCCCCCACCCCAUGUGCUCUUGCUAUGUCACCAGACUGAUAACAGUCUGGAAGUUUCCGGAACAGAGGCUUUUCCAACACUGGCACCAUUCUGAGGACGUGGCGGCUUGCUCACGUGUCAGGGCUUUCUCUAGGUUUAAGUUCCAAAACAGUAGUGAUUGGAGUCACAGCCAGAGCUGCAGACUGUUUCCUGCCCCACUAGGGUUUGGAUGAACCAGACAGCGCCCCCCUAGUUAGUCAUUCCUUAUCUCAGUGGAUUGGGGUACAUUCUUGUCCCUAGUGACAAAAGAACACUUGUUAAGCAAGAUGGGGGCAGAGUCACAGAAGCAUUUGGCCUUGUGUAUUUUAAGAAGCAGGAUGAGUGUGAAGGCCGGAUCUGGGUGACCGUGACCUUGGCUGAUCCUAGAAUUUACACCGGUUGACCUGGGAAGUAACUGUCUAUUGUCUAUGUGGUUUGCUGCCUCUGAGUCUGGUCCAAUUUCCCUGGCUUCCAGACAUUCCCACAUGAGACAGACAAGGAGGCUGGGGUGUGAGGACUGGAAAGGGCAAACACGAUAUUCUCAGAAGAUGCAGAGAGGAGAGUUUUGGGUAAAGAACAAAUGACAGCUGAGGUAUUAGAGUGGGAAGGCAGGAACUGUAUGCAGUAAAUCAGGUAAAGCCAGACAGCCUCAGCUCCCCCGUCUAAAAGCUUGGGGUGGUGAACUUACCCCGACUGCAUGUUGUACACACCAUGGGGUUGAACACAACAUCACAUAACCCUGCCAUGACCUUUGCCCCUGCUCUCUACAAGGGCAUGUGUGGGUUAUCUCUAUGCUACAGGUCCUUCAAAGGCUAGAUGGAAUGGUAAACCUGGAGAAUUCUGUCAGCCCCUCGUGGUGCUAAUUCUCCAACAGUAGGAGAAGGGGCUCCAAGUGUUUAGCCGUCGAGGAAGUGAAUCCCUGAGAACGUUCACCCAUUCUUAGUGGCCUGUGGGAUCUUUAUGUGGAAACCUCUGGCAAAGCAGUAUGUUUUCCUGUUAGAAUUUAUAGGUUUUUAUCUUUAUAAUUUAUUGCAUGAUAGUUAUCUACAAGGCUCUUCACCUUAUCUCUAAAAAGAUUUACUCGAUCAUUAAUGCAGUGUGCUUUUGCCCAGCACCUUCCCUCUCCGGAAUGCUUACCCUACAGUCCUUCUUCCUUGUGUGUUUGUAUCUAGUGCAGUUUUCUUAAUUACUGUGCUUGCUGUGGGAUGUUCAUCUUCCCACCAAAAGGUGAGCUUUCUAAGUGGGAUUUCUGCAUGCGCUGCUUUUCCUUCUGCCCAGAACAGCAGGAGCAGUCUGCAUCUGGUGGGAGUGCAGUAAUCAUUCACAGAAGCAGGGGUGCAUGCCUGAGUGCACCGAUGCCUCCGACUUCCAUUCGACUCCCAGACUCCCAGAAUGAGAGACCACACAGGCAGCCGCUCACCCCCACAGACAAGCAUGGCAUAUGCAAAUCUCUCUGAGGUCCCUCAAGUGCUCAUAUUUUUAGAAAUGAUUCCUAAUCCACUAUCAAAGGCAAGGUCCACAGGGUGAUGUCAGGACUGUUUCCUUGGGAACUUGGGAUACCUUCCUCAUUUGCUGGGAUUUGGCCUCAGUCAAAUUCACAUUGUAUCCAAGAAUCAGGGCAGCAGGUGAAUUUAGCAAAGGCCCCACGGUGGAGCACAAAUGGCAGCUAGAAUUGGUUACAGUCUUCCUCUGUGGGGGUGGAUGUUACUUCUUGUGCUGAAAUGAGCUAUCAGUCCACACAGAGGCAAUCAGGUGGGGAUGCAUUAGACACCCAAAGAGCCCGCCCUCCCCUAUUUGUUCUUUCUCUCAGGGGAUUGCGGUAGGGAUCAGGGGUUAGGGAUUAACACCAUAGCUGUUACCUCACUUUCUUCUAGAAACUUCCCAUUCCCUCAUUACUGCCACCAUGAUCGGGUAUCAACCCUGUUCCCCAUGUCCUGUGCCUUUCCCACUUCAAAAAGGCCACAACCCUUCCUGAUCAAAAUAAUUUAAUAAAUAAUUAAAUGAUAAAAAUAAUAAAGUCAGGCUCUUUGUGGCUGGUGGGCUUCAAGUAUUGCUAAAUUGGGAGUGGGGGAUCUCUUUGAGGCUGAGGACUGGGGGUGGUGGUUUUAAUUUUCAUUUGAUGCUUUUAAAUAUUCAACACAAUUUUCUGAGAACGCCAAU